rnacentral:rRNA from 1 species
UACGGGGGGGGCAAGCGUUGUUCGGAAUUACUGGGCGUAAAGGGCUCGUAGGCGGCCAACUAAGUCAGACGUGAAAUCCCUCGGCUUAACCGGGGAACUGCGUCUGAUACUGGAUGGCUUGAGUUCGGGAGAGGGAUGCGGAAUUCCAGGUGUAGCGGUGAAAUGCGUAGAUAUCUGGAGGAACACCCGUAGCGAAGGCGGCCGACUGGACCACACCUGACGCUGAGGCGCGAAGGCCAGGGGAGCGAACGGG